rnacentral:rRNA from 1 species
AUGAACGCUGGCGGCGUGCCUAAUACAUGCAAGUCGAGCGAACAGACGAGGAGCUUGCUCCUCUGACGUUAGCGGCGGACGGGUGAGUAACACGUGGAUAACCUACUUAUAAGACUGGGAUAACUUCGGGAAACCGGAGCUAAUACCGGAUAAUAUAUUGAACCGCAUGGUUCAAUAGUGAAAGACGGUUUUGCUGUCACUUAUAGAUGGAUCCGCGCCGCAUUAGCUGGUUGGUAAGGUAACGGCUUACCAAGGCAACGAUGCGUAGCCGACCUGAGAGGGUGAUCGGCCACACUGGAACUGAGACACGGUCCAGACUCCUACGGGAGGCAGCAGUAGGGAAUCUUCCGCAAUGGGCGAAAGCCUGACGGAGCAACGCCGCGUGAGUGAUGAAGGUCUUCGGAUCGUAAAACUCUGUUAUUAGGGAAGAACAAAUGUGUAAGUAACUAUGCACGUCUUGACGGUACCUAAUCAGAAAGCCACGGCUAACUACGUG